AUCGCUUCUCGGCCUUUUGGCUAAGAUCAAGUGUAGUAUCUGUUCUUAUCAGUAUAAAUUAUGUAAACAUGUUUUAUAUCAAUAAAUUGCACACAUAAAAUCUAU
rnacentral:snRNA from 1 species